rnacentral:rRNA from 1 species
UACGGAGGGGGCUAGCGUUGUUCGGAAUUACUGGGCGUAAAGCGCACGUAGGCGGCUUUACAAGUCAGGGGUGAAAGCCCGCGGCUCAACCGCGGAAUUGCCCUUGAGACUGUAUCGCUUGAACACGGGAGAGGUGAGUGGAAUUCCGAGUGUAGAGGUGAAAUUCGUAGAUAUUCGGAAGAACACCGGUGGCGAAGGCGGCCUUCUGGACAGUGACUGACGCUGAGACGCGAAAGCGUGGGGAGCAAACAGG